UAUGUUUUCAGAAUGUAAAAUAGUCAUUGUGAAAUGCUUUUUGUUUUUGUUUUUUUCACAGAUGACCACAGUUGGAGACGAUGCCCUGCUAGAUGGGGGCUCGAAGCCUGUCCUUUCAAACACCGAAGGGGAUGAUGAUGCUACUCGUCCGAUAAUCACUAAACAGAUGACCACAGUUGGAGACGAUGCCCUGCUAGAUGGGGGCUCGAAGCCUGUCCUUUCAAACACCGAAGGGGAUGAUGUUGCUACUCGUCCGAUAAUCACUAAACAGGGAACAACUGGUCCCCCACAGGGAACAUCCUCACAUUGAGAGCCCUGAAAUUCCACCAACCAAGAAGCGAAGACAACGGCCGUUGGUUGAAAUGCCGGAAGAAGUCGGCGCUAUGAGGCCUUCCUCACAAGCAGAGUCUCUUCCUCACAUCGAGAGCCCUGAAAUGCCACCACCCAAGAAACGCAGACAACGGCCUUUGGUGGAAAUGCCGGAAGAAGUCGGCGCUAUGAGGCCUUCCUCCCAAGGUAAAGCUGCAAAGAAGAAAAAACCCUGGCAGCCGACAGAGGUCCAGGCAGUCGAGAGGCACAUGACUCGCUUCAUCACCUCUUGCAUUGUACCUGGGAAGAGUGAUUGUGAGAAAUUUUUAAGGGUUGAACCAGAAGCACUACAGAACCGGGAUUGGCAGAACCUUAAAUUCUACAUUCAUAACCGAAUUAAGUCCUACAAAAAGAAGUGGCAAUGAAAAUAGUUUAUGCAUUGCAUGUAUAAUGUAUAAUAUUAUACAUUAUACAUGUAUAAUAAUUUUUAAUUAUUAUACAUGUAUAUAUAUCCACGUAAUUUAAACAUGAGUCUGAAAGAAGUUUAAUUAUUAUAGAUUUAAAUUUCAGGUAGUCGUUCAGUACUAUCAUUUUGCUCAGAAAGGCCAAAAAGGGCAUAAUUUUAAAAGAAUAUGCUGACGUUUCUACCUUGAUUCUGUAUUUCUAGAUGCUUUGUAUCCAACAAAUCUUGUUGAAGGGCCAAUAAAAGCCCAAAAAUGAGUGAGACCUCAAUAAAAGUUUACUUUUGCAAUUUAAAUGUGUAAUUCAUGUCUUGGAAUUCAAGAGGUAGUUAGUCUUAGCAUUGUUGCAUAGUUUAAGGAGAUUGACUGAAACUGUAGUUGGGUGAUUAUGGUUGAUAUUCUAAGGCGGAAAUGACAUACUUGUGACUGAAAAUUGAAAAAGUAGAAAGCUUUGACUUGAAACUAUCCAGCUUCUAUCUUUCAAUCCUUCGUACUAGGUGAAUAAAUACCCGUUUACUACAUCCUUAAAUGUUAAUUUAAUUCUCACUCAUAUUCCUAGCAAUCUUAAUCUGCAAUGUUGAUUGAUUUUUAUCAAUCAUUAAUGUACUGUCUUAAUACUACUUGGUUUUAGAUUUACAAAUUCAGUAAUAUGGAUAGAGGUGUAAUUUUACAUUUCAAUGUAAUGUAUACUUGUUGCAAGGUCCCCACUAAUCGCAUAGGAAUUUGUGUGAAUUAUGCAAAAUAUAUGUAAAUGAAGUCCUCAUCAGCCAUGUUUACUGGUUUUUUAAAAGUCCCCAUAAAGCAUGGUCAAAUCACUACUUCAUCAUUUCAACAAUUUGAAGUUGUGUAUAAGCUUACACAGCAUUUGUGAGUAUACCAGAUUUUUUUCAUACCUGUAGAACCUUUAGAAAGGGUGGUCCCCGCAAGUGAUGCUCAGAACGUUGGUCCCCAUCCAACAUGAAAACCAGUAUGUGUGUGUGUGUGUGUGUGUGUGUGUGUGGUGUGUGUGUGGUGUGUGUGUGUGUGUGUGUUCGUGCCCGUGUUCAGAAUUAGACCUACGCUCUCUGUCCAUGGGGCUGAAACACCGUGUCGAAAUGAAGUGAAGCGUUGUCACUUUGCUCUCCAAUAUUCAUUGUGGACGUGAUAUGUAGGCCUAUGUUGUAUUUUGGAGAGAGAGAGAGAGAACGAGCGAGAACGAGAGCGCAAGCGAGGUAUAAAACUCUUUAUGUGUAGUAGCCCUAUUCGGCAUAUUGAACCGUCGGCCUAAUGCGCCUCCUUUUUGAAAAGUCGGACAAACUGACCUUCGGACCAAUGGGUUCCAUUUUCGGAACAUUGAACCGUCGGCAUAGUGGCAUGUCGAUCUAAUGGGAAAUGAGGUGUCGGAAUUACGGGCAGGCCCCCUUUUCCUCGAAGGAUCUGUGCUUGGAUUCGUAAUGCCGCUUAAUAUUCCCGCUUUUUAUCAGCGCCACGGUUUCAACACAUAAAAGACACAACAAAGGUUUUGUACUGCCUUGCGGGAGAAUGAACAAGUAUUGGUCAGUCCAUUCAUCUUUAAAAUGUCUGUUUUCGGGGUAAACUUUCCUUAUUUUCGAGCAAGCCAUUUUCUCAUUCCAAAUCACUCUUCCGGUAAACAAAAAAUUUGAUUGGCUAUUUUCUGAGUGACGCUAUUACGCACAUGCCGUGACAGACCGAGGGAGGGGGGGGAGUUCGGUGAGUGCAUGAUCUUCGCUCUGUGAAGAUCAUUGCUUUUUGCUGUUUUUAUGCUGCACUACAGACUAUUCUGCCUUACAAUUUGUAUUUCAGUAAGAAAUGAUUUUACUAACAUAAUCAUGCUUUGUAUAGUGAAAUAAUUUUUUUUAUUAUUUUUAUUAUUAUUUUAAAUUGUUCAUGGGUCCAGAUAGGACCGUCACUUGGUCCGGACCCGGGCCGCGGUCCGCCGUUUGGAGAUGCCUG
ensembl:lncRNA